GAUCCUGGCUCAGAAUCAACGCUGGCGGCGCGCUUAACACAUGCAAGUCGAACGAGAAAGCCCGCAAGGGUGAGUAAAGUGGCGUACGGGUGAGUAACACGUGGGUAAUCUACCUCUGGGUGGGGAAUAACCCUGGGAAACCGGGGCUAAUACCGCAUAACACUGCAAGGUCAAAGGCGCAAGUCGCCUGGAGAGGAGCCCGCGGCUGAUUAGCUAGUUGGUGGGGUAAAGGCUCACCAAGGCUAUGAUCGGUAGCCGGCCUGAGAGGGCACACGGCCACACUGGCACUGAAACACGGGCCAGACUCCUACGGGAGGCAGCAGUGGGGAAUCUUGCACAAUGGGGGAAACCCUGAUGCAGCGACGCCGCGUGAGCGAUGAAGCCCUUCGGGGUGUAAAGCUCUUUCGGCAGGGACGAUAAUGACGGUACCUGAAGAAGAAGCUGCGGCUAACUACGUGCCAGCAGCCGCGGUAAUACGUAGGCAGCGAGCGUUGUUCGGAGUUACUGGGCGUAAAGAGUGCGUAGGCGGUUUUCUAAGUUUGGUGUGAAAUCUCCCGGCUUAACUGGGAGGGUGCGCCGAAGACUGGAAGGCUUGAGUAUGGGAGAGGUAAGCGGAAUUCCUGGUGUAGCGGUGAAAUGCGUAGAUAUCAGGAGGAACACCUGCGGUGUAGACGGCUUACUGGACCAUAACUGACGCUGAGGCACGAAAGCGUGGGUAGCAAACAG
rnacentral:rRNA from 1 species